AGGACGAACGCUGGCGGCGUGCUUAACACAUGCAAGUCGAGCGGUAAGGCCUUUCGGGGUACACGAGCGGCGAACGGGUGAGUAACACGUGGGUGAUCUGCCCUGCACUCUGGGAUAAGCUUGGGAAACUGGGUCUAAUACCGGAUAUGACUGCAUGCCGCAUGGUGUGUGGUGGAAAGAUUUAUCGGUGCAGGAUGGGCCCGCGGCCUAUCAGCUUGGUUGGUGGGGUAAUGGCCUACCAAGGCGACGACGGGUAGCCGACCUGAGAGGGUGACCGGCCACACUGGGACUGAGACACGGCCCAGACUCCUACGGGAGGCAGCAGUGGGGAAUAUGCACAAUGGGCGGAAGCCUGAUGCAGCGACGCCGCGUGAGGGAUGGAAGGCCUUCGGGUUGUAAACCUCUUUCAGCAGGGACGAAGCGUGAGUGACGGUACUGCAGAAGAAGCACGGCUAACUACGUGCCAGCAGCCGC
rnacentral:rRNA from 1 species